UAACCCUUCGUUUGACGCUUCGUUAGUGGUUAUGUGUACAUAUAAUAUGGCGAAUACCCGACGCUCCGCUGACGACCGCUGCCGCAGAGCAGCCAUUUUCUUUACUUGUGCGUUCUGUUUAUGUAUGUAGAAAUAGCCUAUGUAUCCGUUAUGCCUGCGUUGACGUCAGUAAAUAAGACGAUUGCGCAUUUUGAGUAUCGGAUAUAAAAAGAGCCAGAGGUACAAAAUUUCAUAAAAUUUCCGAUAGAGUCGACGAUGGAGUUGGAGCAUUUCAACUCUAUUAUAACUCCAGAGCUUACCGAUUUUUAUAUCAACAAAAUAAGGAGCUUAUUGGGGACGAGCUCAUCGAUGGCAUCCAGUUUAAAACAUGUGCUGGAUGAUAAGCUAAUUUUCGAUUACAACGUGGACGGUACGUCGGGGAAGAGUUCUUUGAAAAAUUUUAAAUCAUUUUAAAUGUCCUGGAAUCGGCGGUGAACAUGAAAAUACACAACGAGCCAGCAGAUAAAGUAAUAAGGAAGGCUAUUCAUAAUAUUAAGAAUAGCUAUUUUCAAAAGGGCGCAAGGGAUACAAAAUACAAAGUAUCCGUAGACAAUAAUGAAUAAUAAUUUUUAAUAAAUAAAAAUAGUUGGAAAAAUAAACAAUUGAAUGUAUUACUUUUUAUAUCUAAAGACACUAAGUUGUUAUUGUGGGCUCAAUCGAAAACCCGAAACACAUAACAUAAGCGAAGAGACAAAAAGUGUUCUGCUCAGUGAGAGACCAUUUCUGAGUGGUCUUUUUCGGUUUUGUCAGUGACGAGACAGCAAUGGGAAAAAGUGUUGACCGUUUGCGAGCUAUGCUUUUAAGGGAUGCAAAUUGACAGAACAUGCACCAAACAACUACUGUUAUGUAGAAGGUUGUAUACCUAUAUUUACUGUAUAAAUUUGAGAAGAUUUUGACAGAACAGUGGUAGGACGACGGCUGAAUAAUUUGAGGAACUUUUAUGAUGAGCCCAUUCCUUCAUCCAGCUUAGGAAUUUAUUUAGUGGAGACAGAACCCUCUCAGACAGAAGAAAUAUUUGCGUUAAGUCAAAUUGAAUAUAAGGCUAUAGUGAUGCCAUAUUUAGGCGAGCUAAUAGUGAUGCCAUUGCUACAUCACGUACAAAAUUAAAUUGCUUUGUUUUACUUUUUUAAAA